rnacentral:rRNA from 1 species
GACGAACGCUGGCGGCGUGCUUAACACAUGCAAGUCGAACGGAAGGGCCCUGCUUUUGUGGGGUGCUCGAAUGGCGAACGGGUGAGUAACACGUGAGUAACCUGCCCUUGACUUUGGGAUAACUUCAGGAAACUGGGGCUAAUACCGGAUAGGAGCUCCUGCUGCAUGGUGGGGGUUGGAAAGUUUCGGCGGUUGGGGAUGGACUCGCGGCUUAUCAGCUUGUUGGUGGGGUAGUGGCUUACCAAGGCUUUGACGGGUAGCCGGCCUGAGAGGGUGACCGGCCACAUUGGGACUGAGAUACGGCCCAGACUCCUACGGGAGGCAGCAGUGGGGAAUAUUGCACAAUGGGCGGAAGCCUGAUGCAGCAACGCCGCGUGCGGGAUGACGGCCUUCGGGUUGUAAACCGCUUUCGCCUGUGACGAAGCGUGAGUGACGGUAAUGGGUAAAGAAGCACCGGCUAACUACGUG